GCCCGGGUGGCAGAGCGGCGAUGCGUCAGACUGCAGAUCUGAUUUUACAUGAGUUCAAAUCUCAUCCCGGGCUC
rnacentral:tRNA from 1 species